UUGUGCACCAUUUAUAUACUCUCUUUCUCAAGGUCCAUAAUGAUAAAAAAUGCUCUGCAAGAUUUUUAUACCCUCCACUGCCCUUGCUUUAUGCUUUUCCCUAAGGAUGAUCCUUCCCGCUACAACCUCCAUAGCUCCAAAAAAUCAAAAGACUGCUAAGCCAUAGGAGAAAUCAGCUGGAUUGGCAGUGGCAGAGAUGUACAAGAAUAUGAAAUUAAAGCCAGCCUCUGUCUCACCUCCUCUGCUGGUGCGAGUUCAAAAAGCCACUUUUGAACAGACAUAACACACCUUGCAACAUGCACUUCAACAUGUGCAGAAGCUAAACUCGAGUAGUUAUGUGUGACCUUUUCACUCCAGGAAGAAUGUAUUUUUGCACAGAGAUCACUACCAGGAUAUGGAAAUUGGGCGCUACCGUUUUUACGGUAAUACAGCCAUGGUCAAACAAGAACAGGUGAGAGAUGCAUUAAACCACCUGUCCUUGUUUUCCAUCGAAUUAGGUAGGCACGUAUAGCUGGACGAGGCCUCUUGGCUCCUGUUGAGUUCCCCCUCCUGCAGCUCCAGGCAACCAUUUGUACAAGGAUCCCCCAAAGUCUCCGCUACAACCCCUGCACAAAAACGCAAGGCACAAAACGAGGCUGACGAGGUUCUUCGGGGAGAAGUGAUAUCUUUCAUCAGCCCAACUCAAACAGUUGGAAAAAUUCUUCUUUGCGAGCUUUUGGGUACAGCCCGACGAAGGGCGUUUGCACCCGAAAGCUGGGGGGCAGAAAAACCCUCCCUCUGCAUCUCCUCGAGCAGGCUCCCCAGCACAGCUGCAACGGGCAUGGCUCCGCGCGGACCCACCCCAACGGGGGGAAGAUGCAUGCUGCCCGGCGUCCCCGGGACCGCUGCAACACCUUCGCCAUUGCCUUCCAGCAACACACCAUUAAAAGCUAGCCUGGACAAAGCCAACAGCAUUAGUUUAAAAUAACAGCUCGCCAACCCGCCUCGUUUGGCUGAUUGCCAGUUAAUUAAUAAGGGCUCUGUCGUUCCCCAGUAAUUUUUAUUGCGCUGCUACUCUGAAGCAAGGUCACUUUGAAAACGAAUGAAGCCCAUGAACGGUAUGGGAGAAGAAUAGGCACACCAAAGUGCAAACCUUGAUUUAAACAAGCGAUAACACAGCUCCAUUGUGUAGGGCAUAAUGACAAUACUGUAAAUGGCCGAGCGGCAAAGGAGUUUCUUGGAAAAAAACAGGAGAUUGCUGGAUAUAAAUCUCCUGUGGUUUUGCAACUCGAGGAACAGAAAUGAGAAUAUGGAAGAACCUGUUAUAAAGAACAGUGUGGAACAUACCGUGGUACAAGACACCGAAGAAAAAGGCCUCUCCGAGAAUCGGAGAGAGACGGCGGGCUGGAAGGGACGUCCGCGGGUCGUCGAGUGCAGCCCCCUACCUGAGGCAGGAUCGGCGAGCCUUCAUCCAAACUCCACACGGGACUACCGUCAACCCUGACGCAACGCAGCCCUAACGCCCGAGCCUGCCACAGAAAAGCAGGCAGGAGGCACUCUGGAUAUUUUUUACAGGGGAUGGCACCGGGGUCCUGAUAACCAGCUCCUAGCAAGACGCCCGUGCAAGGAACUGUGGGGAAGCAUCUUCGUCUAGUCUGGGCCAAAGCUCAGCCGAGCCCUGCCUAGGGAUGACUUGCCCGAGAUCAAGCAGGGAGUCUGUGGCAGAGUCCCGGGUCAUCCUUCCUCCCCGCUGACCUCAGGGGCAACAGAGCUAUGGCAAGGCUAUGCACUUUUGAAAAGACAGCAAACAUAGGCCAAAAUUAGCAGCAGCAAGCCCAUGACAGCUUCUACUCAGCGGUGGGUGAAAGCUGUAAAUCUCCAAUGCCUUAAAGAUCUUCUGCACAGAUCACUCUAAAAUUGUAUUUUGGUCGUUAUUCUGCGGCGUUCUGCAUUUUACUUUGGGCCUCUCACAAAAAAAAAAACAACAACCCAAUGCCACAUACAUAGGCAAUAGCUUUCAGCGCCAUACAAAAUACCACUAACAAUUUAUUUUAUGCGCUGGUUAAAGUUCGCUUUUUAUCUGCACGGCACAACGGUGUGACAAAUGGUUACCCCAAACCAUAAAGUUAUAUCACUACUUCUCCGCUUCGCCUUGUUAGAACUGUCCCUUCUCUAAAUGCUCUCCCAAGGAGAAUAUUUACUUGGAAUUAAAAGCAAACAGAGCACAUUUCUCAGGGCGCUUUAUAGCACUAAUUAAAGGUCCACUUUCAGGAUGCAAAAUUAUACGUAGGAUCUGUUUUCCCCUUGGUACCACAAAUUCCAGCAUCAGUGGGGAUUAGGCAAGUCGAGAGAUGUGAGGAUAAAUUAGGCAGCGCGUAGCGCAAGCGGUAUGCCACAUCCCCUCUUCGGUCCGAACAGCUGCUCUCCAAGAUCUGUGCAGACUAUUGUUUAUUAAUGCGCUCCGACCCUUUCUCGGCCCUGCAGAACGGCUCCACUUAUAAAUAGACCCAAAACCCAUUUGUCUGCCUUGGCAGAUCUUGCUCUAGUGCCUAUUGAUUGGCAAAAGAUCCUUGGUGCCCAGACUCCCAAAUGCAUUAAAUAAGCUUCCCUCCCCAUUGCCAGACAACUUCCAAGUCCUGGAGGGGGGCGCUCACCUUGAGGCAGCUUGGCUACCAAGGAUGAGGGGCCUUUGGGUCUCCUGCCGAUGGCAAUAUGAGCAGCUGAACCUGUUCUUCUCAGUACUGGUAUAGAUGAUUCAUAGAUGCUAGGGUCAGAAGGGACCUCAAUAGAUCAUCAAGUCCGACCCCCAGUAUAACACCGCGCGAUUUUGCAGCAGGUGUCAAUAGCCCCAUAUUCAGAAAGAAUGAAACAACGGUUCAGAGAGGGGAGUGGAUGUGCCCACGGCACAAAGAAACGCAGACCCAGGAACAAAACCUGGAGAUCUUCCAAAGGAGACCGGACGCACACCUCACCGGGGUUAUUUGACCCCAGCGGUCUUUCCUGUCCAGAGCAGCGGGGCUGGACCCGACGGUCUCACGAGGUCCCUUCCAGCCCUAAACUUCUGUGAAUCGGUGACUUCCCAAAUUCCCAGCGGUAUGUGCCAGGAUCUGGGUGCUCUGCUGCCCUGAACUUACUGCCAAAGUUUACACCAGCGUGACAUUCAAGAUCAGAAGGUGCAGUUUGGCACGGGCUGAAUGACUGACUGCUGACAAGGACCCAACCUCAGUUACAUUUCCAAUGGGCCAAUCCCAUAGUGCAAGUUCUCGUUCUACCGCACAGAUGAAGGAUAAAGGAAGAAUAAAUGCAGAAGGGAAAAUACAUUUCCUGACAGUCUCACUGCUGCACAUAAUAGUUUCACGGCUCUCCAGCAAGCGAUGCCCUACUGCAAACCAUAAGGAGAGCAGGAAGAGUCAAGCUUGUGUCGCAUUAAUGGUUAAUAGUCAGUGGCACAGUCUUUAUUACCUUAGCAAGUAAUAAAAUCUAGUGAAUUAGCAGCUGA